GACGAACGCUGGCGGCGUGCUUAACACAUGCAAGUCGAACGGAAAGGCCCUGCUUUUGUGGGGUGCUCGAGUGGCGAACGGGUGAGUAACACGUGAGUAACCUGCCCUUGACUUUGGGAUAACUUCAGGAAACUGGGGCUAUUACCGGAUAUGAGCUCCUGCUGCACGGGGGGGGUUGGAAAGUUUCGGCGGUUGGGGAUGGACUCGCGGCUUAUCAGCUUGUUGGUGGGGUAGUGGCUUACCAAGGCUUUGACGGGUAGCCGGCCUGAGAGGGUGACCGGCCACAUUGGGACUGAGAUACGGCCCAGACUCCUACGGGAGGCAGCAGUGGAGAAUAUUGCACAAUGGGCGGAAGCCUGAUGCAGCAACGCCGCGUGCGGGAUGACGGCCUUCGGGUUGUAAACCGCUUUCGCCUGUGACGAAGCGUGAGUGACGGUAAUGGGUAAAGAAGCACCGGCUAACUACGUG
rnacentral:rRNA from 1 species